AUCACUUGGGGAUCUUGUUAACAUGCAGAUUCUGAUUCAGUAAGUCUGGGGUGGGGCCUAAGAUUCUGCAUCUUUAACAAGCGCCCAGGUGAUGCAAC
rnacentral:pre_miRNA from 1 species